rnacentral:piRNA from 1 species
UGGCAAUGGGCUGUGGACUCUCAUUCUA